CAGAAUAUCCCAAGCUGGAAGGGACCCAGAAGAAUCACUGAGUCCAACUCUGGCUCCACACAGGACCACCCAAACCCAAUGUCUCAGAGCAGUGCCCAAACGCGCCCUGAGCUCCAGGAGCCUGUUCCAUGCCCACUGCCCUCUGGUGCAGAGCCGUUACCCCAAACCAACCUGACCCUCCGCUGAGGCGGCUCCAUGCCAUUCUCUCAGGUCCUGUCACUGUUACCGGAGAGCAGAGCUCAGUGCUGCCCCUCUGCUCGCAGUGAGGAGCUGUGGGAUGCCAUGAGAGAGCUCUUCUCUGGGCUGAACAAACCAAGGGACCUCAGCUGCUCCCCUCCACCCCUUGCCCUCCUCAGCAGCACGAGUUAUGAAAAGGAGGCAUGGAUUACAUCUUACAGCCAACACUGCUGCACCAGACCUGAUAGAAAAUUGUUCAUAGUUCAGCGAGAAGCCGUUUAAAAGUCAGUCCUGGCUCCCCAGAUGCUAUAAACAUCCAUUUUGAUCAGUUAGAAAACCUGGUUGCUUUUAGUAAAAGCACAAGCAGGGAUGAUUUUGUUUUGAUUGUUUAACGCUGUUGAUGUUGCAAAUAGGUAU
rnacentral:lncRNA from 1 species